GCCUCUAUAGCUUAGUGGUCGGAGUACUGGUCAUGUAAACCAGGGGUCGGGAGUUCGAUCCUCCUUGGGGGUG
rfam:Trichobilharzia regenti genome assembly, scaffold: TRE_scaffold0101695